rnacentral:misc_RNA from 1 species
GAUGAAGAACGCAGCGAAACGCGAUAGUUAAUGUGAAUUGCAGAAUUCAGUGAAUCAUCGAGUCUUUGAACGCACAUUGCGCACAUUGGUAUUCCGUUGGGCAUGUCUGUUUGAGCGUCAUUACAACAGUUCAGCGUAAGCUGGUUAUGAGUUCUGUUUUUUUAAACAAAAAACAGGCUUUAAAAUGUAUGUUCUGCAGGUCGCUUUGCUAAACCCUAAACAUUAAAUACUGUUCUAGUGAAGCAUUUGCGACUCUGCCUGAAAAAAAACUUUUGUUAAAGUUUGACCUCAGAUCAGACAAGGAUACCCGCUGAACUUAAGCAUAUCAAUAAGCGGAGGA